CUGAUAACCCUGGAGACCAAAGUCUUUUAUGUACAGAAUGCAUAUAGCACGGAAGCAGCAGCACAAGCUUCCCCGCACUGCCCUGCCAAUGUGCUUCAAACCUGACCUGAAAGAAUCAUUUGUAGGAUAAAUGGUAGUUCAGUCUCCUUACACAAUCAAGCCCCAGCCAUA
rnacentral:sRNA from 1 species